rnacentral:rRNA from 1 species
UACGUAGGGGGCAAGCGUUAUCCGGAUUUAUUGGGCGUAAAGCGUGUGUAGGCGGUUUACUAAGUCUAAAAUGAAAGCCCGAGGCUCAACCUCGGUUUGUUUUAGAUACUGGUAGACUAGAGUAUGGUAGAGGCAAAUGGAAUUCCUAGUGUAGCGGUGGAAUGCGUAGAUAUUAGGAGGAACAUCAGUGGCGAAGGCGAUUUGCUGGGCCAUCACUGACGCUGAGACACGAAAGCGUGGGUAGCAAAUAGGAUUAGAUACCCUAGUAGUCCACGCUGUAAACGAUGAGCACUAAGUGUCGGGAAACCGGUGCUGAAGUUAACACAUUAAGUGCUCCGCCUGAGUAGUACGGUCGCAAGACUUAA